CAGGAUAAGCGCUGAAAGCAUCUAAGUGCGAAGCCCCUUCUAAGAUAAGAUUUCUCAUCGGGUUAACCGAUUAAGACUCCUUAUAGAACAUGAGGUUGAUAGGUCAGAAGUGUAAUUACAGUAAUGUAUGUAGCUGACUGAUACUAAUAAGUCGAGGGCUUGAACUG
rnacentral:rRNA from 1 species